AGAAACGGGAUUCUUCAGUUCGGCUGGCUAACACACAGGUGUUGCAUGGCUGUCGUCAGCUCGUGUCGUGAGAUGUUGGGUUAAGUCCCGCAACGAGCGCAACCCUCAUCUUUAGUUGCUACCAUUUAGUUGAGCACUCUAAAGAAACUGCCGGUGAUAAGCCGGAGGAAGGCGGGGAUGACGUCAAGUCCUCAUGGCCCUUACGGCCUGGGCUACACACGUGCUACAAUGGCGGUGACAGAGCGCAGCAAACCCGCGAGGGUUAGCGAAUCGCUAAAAACCGUCUCAGUUCGGAUUGCUCUCUGCAACUCGAGAGCAUGAAGCUGGAAUCGCUAG
rnacentral:rRNA from 1 species